GGUUGCAAUCAAAAAAUCCACUUCCUGUCUUCUGAAAAGUUCCAAAGCAUCUAGACGCUGGGCUUGCGUAAGAUUUCCAUGUAGCUCAGCUGCUUUGAAACCAAGUAAACCAAAUAUAAUUUUCAACCGAUGAGCUGCUUGCUUUGUACCACUGAAAACAAUCACUUUGGAAGUGAAAGUCUUGGUGCACAGUGCAAGGAGAACAGCUUCAUGAUUUCCUUCACGCAUGCGCCGUAUUCUAACUACCUCUUCAGUCAAUGUUGCAGGCCGUUUUGUAGAUGGAUCAGCUGACAGGCGCAAAGGUUUAUUCAGUGAGAGAUUGAUGAGCUCAUCAACUUCCUCAGUCAUUGUCGCAGAAAACAACAUGGUCUGUCUCCGCUUCGGACACAAUCUAACCAGCUCACGAAUUUCAGCACUGAAACCCAGCUCCAGUAGACGAUCGGCCUCAUCAAGAAUCAAUACUGCAAGAUCAUCCAAAUCAACUGACAUGGAGUUCCGUAGAUGAUCUAUCAUACGUCCUGGAGUGGCCACGACAAUAUCAGGCAUUGUUCUCAAGGCUGCUUCUUGCACCUUGGUUGACAGACCACCAACAACCAAACAACAUCUGAUAUCUGGCAUAAACUGGGCAAGUUUACCUAUCAUACUAUGAACCUGAACAGCCAACUCUCUUGUUGGAGUAAGAAUAAGAACCCUAAUUGCAGGCCUAUUUUUUGGACGGUACAACAGUCUCUCGAGUGUCGGUAAGGCAAAGGCAGCUGUCUUUCCAGAUCCUGUUAU
rnacentral:misc_RNA from 1 species